ACUCCUCUCUCUCUCUCACUCUGAUACUCAAGCUCUCACCCUCUCACGAAUCACAUUCACGCUCACCCUCACCCUCUCGCACCCUCAUCACGGCACGGCGGCACUACCACCAGCCACCACCACGCCACGACCACGCCACCGGCCACCCGUCCAGUUCUCCUUUCUCUUCUAAAACUUGAUUUUCCCAAGCAACCAUGAAUAUGAUUUUCCCUACAUCUGUAAUUCCUAAUCCUAAAUCCUAAAAUUGUCAUACUCACUCAGUCAUAGAGUCUCCAUCUUGGCUUGUAAUUCUAAAUCCUAUUCCUACUCCUUCAAACCUCGCCUCGCCUUCCCUUCCCUUCGUAUGCAGGGUGUCCUAAGCAGGAGAGUCUGCACCAGUGGAUCAAACCACCAAGAGAAACAAACACGACAACUUUACUCAAAAGUCAAAACCUUAAGACAAUGGGAACCAGCUAGUGUACUAGAAGAACGUGCAAAGUCUCCAUCAUCAACAAGUUUGGCAAGCCCAAAAUCAGCUAUGUAUGGUUCAAAUUCAGGGCCUAUGAGGAUGUUGUUGGCCUUAAUGUCCCUGUGAACAAUGGGA